rnacentral:rRNA from 1 species
UAGGGAAUCUUCCACAAUGGACGCAAGUCUGAUGGAGCAACGCCGCGUGAGUGAAGAAGGCUUUCGGGUCGUAAAACUCUGUUAUUGAAGAAGAACGUGUGUGACAGUAACUGGUCAUGCAGUGACGGUAUUCAAUCAGAAAGUCACGGCUAACUACGUGCCAGCAGCCGCGGUAAUACGUAGGUGGCAAGCGUUGUCCGGAUUUAUUGGGCGUAAAGCGAGUGCAGGCGGUCUUUUAAGUCUGAUGUGAAAGCCUUCGGCUUAACCGAAGAAGGGCAUCGGAGACUGGGAGACUUGAGUGCAGAAGAGGAGAGUGGAACUCCAUGUGUAGCGGUGAAUG